rnacentral:lncRNA from 1 species
AGUGCGCAUUGCCUACCCCGUGCUACAGGACUUCGCUGAGCGCCAGGCGCAGGGACUGGACGCAUACGGACCCCCGGGAGCCCCGGAACUCGCGUUCCCACGCCAGACCUCAUCCCCUUCUGACAGAGACGCCCUCGUCCCACCGUCGCCGCAGGCGCCAGGGGUCCCUCCCCACCGCCGAGGUCUAGCCGCCGCCCGCCCGCCUUCAGGGCAGCGCGGGGACCCCCUGGCCCUCGCCCAGUGCUCCGGGGCUCACCCGCCGCUCCUCGCCGCCUCCGGAGGCGAGGGAUUGUUUCCCACAAGGGACUGGAGUCCAGGGAAGGACUCGCCUGGAGCGGGAGGCGGGGAUGCACAUGCGCAGAGGGAGAGGCCGAGCGCCCGAGUUAGGCUGGUGGAUGCGAUGCGGGGCUUGGAAGCGGCGCUAGACGGUGCCUGUCAGCUCUGGCCGCAACCCUCAGUUGUAAAAUGAGGCUGAUAGUGCCUACCUAGCAGGGGUUUUAUGAGAAUUGGAGGCGCUUACGUUGUAAAAGCAUUUAAACCGGUGUCUGACACAUAAAUUGUUCAGUAUAUUUCUCACAAUUAUAUAUCAUGCUGGUCAUCAUAAGGCUCUCCUGCAAAACAGCCUUGUAUAGUGGGUUGAGAGAUUACUGUCUCAGUUACCCACUCCUGCUUGGAACCAGGAUUCUGUCAGUGUCCCCAGAGGUUGUGGAUCAAAUCAAUGUGCCUGUUAGACACAAGCCAAGAGAAGGAAAGCAACCAAUCAAGGAUAUUGUCACCGGGGGUCCUUGCUCCCAGAGCUCCCAAGAUGGUGGUGGGCUGCUUCCGAGAUGGGGGCAAGCCUCAUGUUCUCUGACCUGGGGUUCUUGGCCUCAUGGAUUACAAGGAAUGGAAUUUUGGGCUAUGUGGUGAGUGUUAUAGCUCAAUUAGAAGCCGUGGGUCACGGAAGAGAACUGUGGAACCCAGUGACUAGUGUUCAGCUCGAUUAGGACCAACCUGGGACUUAGCUGUGCAGGAACAAUGGCAAGCCUUUAGCCCAACUUGGGAGCAGCAAUGGGCACCUCGCUGGAUCAGGAGCACAGCGGACACCCUGCCAGAUCCGGAGGGAUGGAAGUCAGCGGCGGGUCUGCGAAGGCCGCAAACAGCAGCGGUGGACAGCGAGCGAAAGCUCAGCUCAAGCCGUAACAAACACGGACCAGAAGAGAGUGCAGUUGCAAGAUUUAAUAGAAUGAAAACACAGCUCCCAUGCAAAGGGAGGGGACCCAAAGUGGGUAGCUGUUGCCGGCUCCAAUGCCUGGGUUUCUAUCCCGAUCAUUGUCCCUCCCGCUGUGCUCUUAGGCAAUAGAUGAUUGGCUAUUUCUUUACCUACUGUUUUUGCCUAAUUAGCAUUUUAGUUAGUUCUCUUUACUACCUGAUUGGUCGGAUGUGAGCUAAGUGCAAGCCCCUUGUUUAAAUGUGGAUGCAGUCAACUUCUCAGCUAAGCUUAGGGAUUCUUAGUCGGCCUAGGAAAUCCAGCUAGUCCUGUCUCUCAGUAUCACAGUACAUUUACUUGUCAUGUCUUAGCCUUGGCCAGUUUGUAAUAGUUUCUUGCUCCUACCUUGUCUUUCAUGACCUUGCUAUGAAGAUGAAAGCACGCUCUCUUGACUUCAGUCCUCCCACCUUGGCUUCCCAAAGUGCUUGGGAUUACAGGCAUGAGCAACCACACCCAGCCUAUAGUUUAACUUUAAAACAAGAACGAUAAUGAUCCCUUCCUGAAACUAACCCCCUCCUUGUUUGGGGACAAAAACCGUUUUUGUAAAACUAGUGGAAGUCCACAAGUUUAGAAUUUUGGUAGGAACCUGAAUUCUGUAAGAUGCAGGCAUAAACUCUAACCAGUUUUUGCUUUUAUAAUCUGCCUUUUUGUAACUGCUUACUACUCCAGAGUCACAUAGCCAGUGGUCACAAGAUUUAUAACAUCUCCAAUUGUCACUAUAGAUAAUGUCACUAUUGUAAAACCUAAAACUAGUGUUUGAGUUAUUUUUCAGACUUUACAUUCUGAUGGACCAACUGGUGCCACUGGGACCAGUAACCCAUAGCAAAAAAUGGACUCAGUUGAUCCUGUGACCCCCUUCAAGAACCGAUUCAACACAAGAAGACAGUUUCAACAGCCCUAUGAUUUCAUCCCUGACCCAGCCAAUCACCAUUCCCCAUUCUCUAGCCUCCUGAUGGGCAGGAGGCUAGAGAGGUUCAAAGUUUUUCAUCCUUGAAAGACUGUAGCCUCCAAAUUCUCAGGAAGGCAGAUUUGAGAAUUAUCUCUUAUACUUGCUUGGCCACCCUGCAAUUAUUAAACUCUUUUUCUGCUGCAA